rnacentral:rRNA from 1 species
CUCUAUGGCCAUACUAUCCUGAAUGUGCCAUAUUUCAUCUGAUCUUGGGAGCUAAGCAAGGUCGGGCCUGGUCAUUACUCAGAUGGAAGACAUACCAAACUCAACGCCUUGAGC